CAUAAACCUCAAUACCCUAUCUGGUAUGAGGGUGAAACGGGUCGUCCCCAUACGCCGUCCGGUAUGGGCGCAAAAACACAUAAGGUCUCUAUACCCCGUCCGGUAUAAGAGACCACGUUCCCGGUAGGGUUCCCUACAGACCCGGUCUGUCCACCAUCUCCCAAGAUAUCUAGUCAGGCUGUCCACAUUAUCCAUUUAUCAAUUCACAUAACCUUUUUACCAUUUUCUUUGGUCUCAAUCAUCCAAUCAUACACAAACAUAUAAACCAGUAAUCGACACCAAAUUAAACAACACGGUAUCGGGUUCACCAUAAUACAAACUAUAAUAAAAGAAAUCAUGAUUCAUGCAUACGAGACCAUAAAAUAAAUACAUCAAAUAUCAUACUACAUUUAAUACUGAAAAAUAGAUCAAACAACAACCGACCAACAAUGUAUCAGAUUCGGGCUCCAUUGGCAACCUCAAUCAAUUAUACAUAUCUAUAAAGUCACAAAAUACUGUUUAAUUAUUUAUUAAGCUUUAAUGUCGUGAUAGGAGGUAGGGUGAGAGAUACUUACUUGUUUCGGGGUCUGAAAUUGGCUCUACAGUGUGGUUACGGGCUGUCCCUAAAUUCUCUGAAUUUUUUUCGAGAAACUGAAACGCACUACCGGUACCUGCACGUGU
rnacentral:lncRNA from 1 species